rnacentral:lncRNA from 1 species
CUGGAUCAAGUAAAUCUACCAUAUGCUUGUCUAAUCUGUUCUUAAAAACUAUGUAGAAUGGCUCAUGACACUCUUGGAUAUCUUGCUGAAGUGUCUCAUUACUCUUCAUUAGAACAAUUUUACUCUAAAUCUUAAGUCUUUGCUGAUUUCUUCUUGUCCUUCCCCCUUUUUUCUGUGAAGAACAAAUACCUUCUUUUUUAUAAUUUUUUUAAGUAAUGGAAGACAGUUAUGUUUUCUAAUAGCCAGUCCAUAUUUUAUUUUAUUUUAUUUUAUUUUAUUUUAUUUUAUUUUAUUUUAUUUUGUUUUGUUUUGUUUUGUUUUGUUUUAUUAAACUAAAUAAAUAUUCUUUCACUAUUUCUCCUAAGUCAUGUUUUGUAAAUCUCUUUGCAACUCUUCGUUUUCUCCAGUUCUCUUCUGCGGACUCCGCAACUUUCUAGCAUCAUUCUUAAGAGGAAGGCAACCAAAAUGAGAUGAAUUCACCAUCUAGGGGUACUACCAGUAAACAGGACAAAGACAGCUACCUCUCUUGUCCUACCUGGGACCUCCUAGUACACAUCCUAAAAUGAGAUCUGUCUUUGCAACAGCACUGUUUUAUAAAUUUAUAGUAUGCCUCUGAUCUUUUUAUGUCCUUAAUAUAUUUUCUGCCUGGCUGAUUUUUCCCCACUGGGAAUGAUGCUUUCAGAUGUGUAGUGGCUGUUAUCUUUCUUGAGUACAUUCUGCUAGUCUUUUUGAAUUCAUCUUGUUGAACAAUCUUGUUAAGACUGUCCAGCUAAAAUUGUUUGGUAGCUAUGCUUUGUAAAAGUAAGAGUUAUGAUUUAUUAAUCCUUUGGUGAUAGUAAGAAAAUCUUUUCAUCUGAGAAGCUGAACAAACUCAGCCUGAGUUUUUGAAAAUCCGUCAUAGCUUCUUACUACAAUUCAACUCAUAGAUUGUCAUUAUUUUGUUUCUUUCCAUAAUCUGAUAGAUCGAGAUUCUACAUAAGGACUCCAGGUUUGCUGUAAUGGAAACACUGGGUGCCGGUGCUGGCUGGGAGGAAAUAUCGUAGCAUAGUUUCACCAGUUCUGUUUCUUAAGGUUCCUUCAGGUGUGCUCUCCACUGUCACCUGCAAAGGUCAUUCUAAAGGGUGAUCGUUCUUCAUGGAUGCUCUGGGCAGGAUUUCUAUCUGCCCACCAGAUCUUCCCACUGAGGUGGUUAGGUAGCUAAAAUACAUCAUAGCAGCAUCUUCCUCCUCAUGUACUGAGAUCUGGGUAGAUUUGAUAUUCACUGGUAUAAAAGGGCAUGUUCUUUCCAUGCCUACAUGGUAGACUAUCUUCAAGGCAG